rnacentral:rRNA from 1 species
GAUGAACGCUAGCGGCAGGCUUAACACAUGCAAGUCGAGGGGUAUAGUAGCAAUACUAGAGACCGGCGCACGGGUGCGUAACGCGUAUGCAACCUACCUUUUACAGAGGGAUAGCCCCAGAGAAAUUUGGAUUAAUACCUCAUAGUGUUAUUAGAUGGCAUCAUUUGAUAACUAAAGUUCCAACGGUAAAGAUGGGCAUGCGUCCUAUUAGCUAGAUGGUAAGGUAACGGCUUACCAUGGCUACGAUAGGUAGGGUCCUGAGAGGGAGAUCCCCCACACUGGUACUGUAGACACGGACCAGACUCCUACGGGAGGCAGCAGUGAGGAAUAUUGGACAAUGGGCGCAAGCCUGAUCCAGCCAUGCCGCGUGCAGGAAGAAGCAUCUAUGGUGGUGUAAACUGCUUUUGUACGGGAAGAAACACUCUACGUGUAGGAGCUUGACGGUACCG